CUUCCCCUCCCUCAUCCACAUACAUUACAAAGGUGGCUGUGUUCGGUGGAUGGCAAGCCUGGCCUGAACAAGAUGAUGCUGGAUAUGCUGGAGAGAAGAUGCCAGGAAGACCAGGCUAAAUAUGGAUGUGUUGCACUCAUGUUGGAUGCCAUGGCCAUCAGAAAACAUGUGCAAUAUAAUCCACAUAACCAGUCAAUGUCUGGUUUUGUAGACAUGGGUGAUGGAAACAAUGAGACCGAUGUUGCUACUGAGGCUCUUGUGUUCAUGGUGGUUGGCCUACAAGGACAUUGGAAGGCUCCCAUUGCAUAUUACCUGACGAAGUCUCUGUCACCUGAAACACAAAGGGUCCUUCUCAGUCAUGCUUUGGAGGAGCUGCAUGCACGGGGCAUUCGGGUGGUAUCUGUCACGAUGGAUGGGCAUGCCUCCAACGUCAGCAUGUGCAACCAACUUGGGUGUGAGCUGAAGGGAAACCCACAGGAGCCACUUAAAACCAGUUUCCCGCAUCCCUCGACUGGUGACAAAGUAUUUGUAAUGAUGCAUGCCACAUGCUGAAGUUGGCACGUAAUAUGUUGCAGGCAUACAGUCCAAUUGCAACGACCACCGGACAGAUCAAGUGGAGGUUCAUCAAUCAUCUCAAUGAUGUGCAAAAAAAAGACGGACUGCAUGCUGCCAAUAAAAUCACAGACAAACAUGUCUACUUUGAGAACCACAAGAUGAGGGUGUCCCUGGCUGCACAAACACUGAGUCGCUCCGUGUCAGUUGCUCUCCGCACAAUGAGGGAUCUUAGGUACUCUCAGUUUAAAGACUGUGAGGCAACGGCAGAAUUCAUUGAGGUAAACAGUUAGUGAUUAUAGAAC